rnacentral:lncRNA from 10 species
GAGAAGGUGGCCAUCUGCCAGCCAGGAAAAGAGUCCUCACUAGACCCCAAUCUUAACAGCAUCCUGUUCUUGGACUUCCGGCCUGCAGAACUGUGAGAAAAUAAAUUUCUGAGGACUGUGGGACCUAGCAGACUAAUAUGAUCCUGGGGAAGCAGGAAGAUACUCCAAGGAAACAUCAGAAACCCAGGAGGCAGACAGAAGAGGACCCUGGUUUCCCGAACAGCCAAACCAUAGCACUCACUGCUCUAAACUGCCUUUCUGAGAGCUGAUUAUUUUCCACAUUUGAAAAAUGGCCAAGCUGAGUCAAAAGAUCCUCCCGUGAAACAGCUAGCUCACCCGGGGGUAAUUCUAAGCGCUGUAGAUUCCUCCAAACACCUGUCUUUGCAAACCAAGCAACUUUUCCAGUGUACAAUAAGACAAUUAAGAGGAACAAAGCCAUUCUAGCCCUCUCUUCACUCACCUUUUUCUUUGUCUAUGUGAUUUCAACAUCAAGUUAAUUGGCAAUUGCGGUUACCAUAAAGUGCUUCCUUGCUAGUUUUAGAGUGUCUUUCAAAUUG